AUGCAUCAAGAUCAUCGAUCGUCAUGGACACGAAUAGAACAUACUGGGCACAAUGCACAUAGUUUGUAUCAUAGUGCCACAGUUUAUGAAAAUAAAGACGCUUGGAUUGGAUGCGUCUACCUCCAUCGGCAUACCCAACUCAAAUGCGAUCCACUCUUCAGAAUCAUAAUUAACGUUUUUUUUCUCUCAAGGGUAUGUUUGAAUAUUUCCUAUCUUCUUCCAGCCAUCAAACUUGUUCACUUUUCCCUGAAAGAAAUUAUGUCUUAUAUUUUGAUUCUAAACAAUUAUACUUGGCUUUUGAUCAUGAAAAGAACUUGUAUUUUUCUCUCAAAUUUUUUUGAACUUCUUUUAGCCGAAUAUUUUGAACUUUGGCUCCCCUCCAAUCCCCCACCAUUUUGUAGGAACCGUAUGAUACACAAGUUGGAAUACUCGAGCUCAGGAGCCAAAAGCAAUAUUUGGUAG
rnacentral:rRNA from 1 species